CUUCAAAGCCCAGCUCUAGUGACCUGAUUGUCUAAUAUUCUGACAUCUCUUGGCAAAGCCACAGCUCUUCCCUUGUGUUCUCCAGCACUGUGCUCCUACUCCAUCCUCAGACUUCUCAUGCAGUACCAUCUGCUUACCCAUCCAUCUCCGGUUCUCACCUUCCGCCGCUCUGCUCUGUACUGCAGGGCGCUGGGUUUGGCCAAUGGGAGGUGCUGGUUGUUGGAGGGGGGCUACAGGGUGGAAGGAAGGAAGAAGUCUGGGUAUUUCUCCUCUCCAUCUUUUUUUUUUUUUUCUGAGACGGAGGAGGCUUGCCCUGUCUUUUAGACUGGAGGGCAAUGGCAUGGUCUUGGCUCACUGCAACCUCCAACUCCACGGUUCAAGCAAUUCUCCUGCCUCAGCCUCCUGAGUAGCUGGGCUUAUAGGCACCCACCACCACACCCAGCUAAUUUUUGUAUUUUUAGUAGAGACAGCAUUUCACCAUGUUGGCCAGGCUGGUCUCAAACUCCUGACCUUGUGAUUCGCCCACCUUGGCCUCCCAAAGUGCUGGGUUGCAGGCCUGAGCCAGUGCGCCUGGCCUCUCCUCUCCACCUUAGGCAGCAUCUCCAGCAGUGGCUGUGUCUCCUCCAUGUCUCUAGCUCCUCUGAAGCUCCAUCAUGGUCUUAUAUUCCACCAAGUGACCCUACUCCUGGGCUGGGCUGGUGGCACUCCCUUGCUGUUACCUGUCUUUGGGCUGCUUUGCCAUCUCCAGUUGUCUGCUCAAACCUUCUGCCACCUUCCAUUCCCUGGAUUAAAGUUCCUCUUUUGUAAAUACUCAAGUAUUUCCUGGUUAGACACUGACUCAUACACCUAUCUGCCAGGUGACAAGCUUCCCAAUGGGAAGGGCCCCACCUUGUAUCCCCAGGGCUUGGACACAGAGAAGCUACCCAAAGGACAUGUUUGCUUCCCCUUCCGUCAUGACUGUAAGUUUCCCAAGACCUUCCUAGCCAUGCUGAACUGUGAGUCAAUUAAACAUCUUUCCUUUUUUUUUUUUUUACAUUUUUUUUCCCAGACCUUCCGUGGUAACAUCUUUCCUUUAUAAAUUACUUGGUCUCAAAUCUCUCUUUAUUAGCAGCAUGAGAAUGGAUGGAUACAAAGAAGAUGGAAUAGAAAGAGAACACAGAGAAAAGGAGGGGACCUGCUUCAGGCAGGGCCAUCAGGAAGGGUUGCUCUUGAUAGGCGGCCCCUGAGCACAGCCCAAAUGUUGAGAAGGAAUGUACACAUCUUCUGCCACCAAUGGCUUCUGAAUCAGUGUUUCUGAAAAUGUGAGAUUUCAGGGACUGUACAAUAUAAAAAUUUUUUGAGAACUAAUAUAGGGUUACUAUUUUGCCAAGUAAAAGUAAAAAAAAAUUAAACUAUGAAUGGCCAUUUACUAUCUCCAUGAUUUCAUAAAUGAAAGGACAUUUUGAACACUCCCAAAGUAGGAAGAACAGACCCCAGAAUAAAGACAGUCUUUUAAAUGAAAUAAAUUUAGCU
rnacentral:lncRNA from 13 species